rnacentral:rRNA from 1 species
UACGAAGGGGGCUAGCGUUGUUCGGAAUUACUGGGCGUAAAGCGCGCGUAGGCGGUGCUCUUUGUCAGAGGUGAAAUCCCGAGGCUCAACUUCGGAAAUUGCCUUUGAAACGGGAGUGCUUGAGUCCGAGAGAGGAUGGCGGAAUUCCUAGUGUAGAGGUGAAAUCGUAGAUAUUAGGAAGAACACCGGUGGCGAAGGCGGCCAUCUGGCUCGGUACUGACGCUCAGGCGCGAAAAGCGUGGGGAGCAAACAGGGAUUAAGAAACCC